rnacentral:rRNA from 1 species
GAUGAACGCUAGCGGCAGGCCUAACACAUGCAAGUCGAGGGGUAGAGAGAAGCUUGCUUUUCUUGAGACCGGCGCACGGGUGCGUAACGCGUAUACAAUCUGCCUCUUACUGCGGGAUAGCCCAGAGAAAUUUGGAUUAAUAUCGCAUAGUAUAUUUGAAUGGCAUCAUUUAAGUAUUAAAGGUUACGGUAAGAGAUGAGUAUGCGUUCUAUUAGCUAGAUGGAGUGGUAACGGCACACCAUGGCAACGAUAGAUAGGGGCCCUGAGAGGGGGAUCCCCCACGACUGGUACUGAGACACGGACCAGACUCCUACGGGAGGCAGCAGUGAGGAAUAUUGGACAAUGGAGGCAACUCUGAUCCAGCCAUGCCGCGUGCAGGAAGACGGCCCUAUGGGUUGUAAACUGCUUUUAUACGGGAGAACACUGCUACGUGUAGCAGCUUGACGGUACCGUAAGAAUAAGGAUCGGCUAACUCCGU